AACGAACGCUGGCGGCAGGCCUAACACAUGCAAGUCGAGCGGACCCUUCGGGGUUAGCGGCGGACGGGUGAGUAACGCGUGGGAAUAUGCCCUUCUCUACGGAAUAGUCCUGGGAAACUGGGGGUAAUACCGUAUACGCCCUUUGGGGGAAAGAUUUAUCGGGGAAGGAUUAGCCCGCGUUGGAUUAGGUAGUUGGUGUGGUAAUGGCCUACCAAGCCGACGAUCCAUAGCUGGUUUGAGAGGAUGAUCAGCCACACUGGGACUGAGACACGGCCCAGACUCCUACGGGAGGCAGCAGUGGGGAAUCUUAGACAAUGGGGGCAACCCUGAUCUAGCCAUGCCGCGUGAGUGAUGAAGGCCUUAGGGUUGUAAAGCUCUUUCAGCUGGGAAGAUAAUGACGGUACCAGCAGAAGAAGCCCCGGCUAACUCCGUG
rnacentral:rRNA from 1 species